AACGAACGCUGGCGGCAUGCCUAACACAUGCGAGUCGAACGAGACCUUCGGGUCUAGUGGCGCACGGGUGCGUAACGCGUGGGAACCUGCCCUUAGGUUCGGAAUAACUCCCCGAAAGGGGUGCUAAUACCGGAUAAUGUCUUCGGACCAAAGAUUUAUCGCCUUUGGAUGGGCCCGCGUUGGAUUAGCUAGUUGGUAGGGUAAAAGCCUACCAAGGCGACGAUCCAUAGCUGGUCUGAGAGGAUGAUCAGCCACACUGGGACUGAGACACGGCCCAGAAUCCUACGGGAGGCAGCAGUGGGGAAUAUUGGACAACGGGCGAAAGCCUGAUCCAGCAAUGACGCGUGAGUGAUGAAGGCCUUAGGGUUGUAAAGCUCUUUUACCCGGGAUGAUAAUGACAGUACCGGGAGAAUAAGCUCCGGCUAACUCCGUG
rnacentral:rRNA from 1 species